UGGGCUGUGGUUCCCUGAGAGUGGA
rnacentral:piRNA from 1 species